AUGAAAUCUACACAACUUUAUAUACAUCCUAAAAUGGUACCAAAUACACAACAUAUUUCUCAAGUUUGCAACAUUGUGACAAGGGCAUUGAAUUCCACAAGUUCAGGACAACUAAGCCAACAAACUAAACAAGUUAAAAAAAUUCCAAAGUCACUUCCCGCCAAAUGGAUUCGAGAACAAAUGAAAAACCAUGCUAUAUUUUCCUAUCUUAAAUCAUGUCUUAUCACAAACCAUUCAAUAUUCUUUCUUAAUUAA